CUAUUAGAAAUCCAUAUAUUUAUUGUUAAAAUACGUUCACAAAUAUAUCGUAAUUUCACAAAUAUUUGUCUGUUAUUUAAGGGAAUAAACCGUCAAAUUCAGCUUUAAUACUCUAAAAAAAGUAAAAAAUCAUUUAAAGUUACUAAGAAAUUAAAAGUAAAAUAACUAUUUAAUUAGUAAUGUUACUAUAAUUUCUUUGUUAAUUGAAAAUUUGUUAACCACAUAAACUAAAUGCUUUUCAUCUGUUUCCUUAACCUACCACUUUAAAGCAUUACAUUCUGCCAAUGUUUUGGAUGCAUGGUUACUUGACCCAGGUUAUGGAAACCUUUGAUAGAGUAUGGAUUAAUUUCAGUGAGGUUGAAUGUAAGUUUUUAAUCCAUGUAUGGUGACUUGACCAAGUUAUGGAUGCCUUGGAUAGAAAUGUUACUGUAAACAAACAAACUGUAUACAAAACGUUUGAUUUAUGUUUCUCAUCAAAACAUAUAUCAAUCAUGUAGAACUCUUACAGCUUUGAGGGAUGUUAAAUCUAUAAGUUUCAGUCAUUUUAAGAAGUAAGAAAUAAGUUAUGUUUUGUCUGGAACACUAUGAACGCGUCAUCAACCACGUGGUGAAGAAGAACGUUGCCAUUUUGUGUUGAAUGCGUGUGGACCUGGGGAGAUAUCUUUCAAGUUUUUUCUGUAGGUAUAGGUAAUUGGUGUUGAGACAGUUGGGUUGGGACGGGCUUCUGCUUCAAGCAUUGUUCCUAAGGCUCUUUAGAAAUGUGAUAUGGCAGUGUAAGGGGUGUUCCGUUGCAGUAGCUACAUCACCAUCAUUACAUGAUUCUUCAGCUGAUUGCCAGGAUGAGGAGUUUGUGGAAGAGGAAGUUUCUGUUGCACCCCUAGAUAAAUGCAGAAUUUAAGCGCAUUACCACCAUGUCCAAUGUCCAAUCCAGAUUUCUGACACAAACUUCUAAAGCUGUUCGAAAACGAGGAGGACACGAGGAGCCCCCAUGACUCAAGCAGAGGACGAAGCCGCCAUCAAAGAAUCGAUUGAGGACACCACGGUGGGAAUAUUUGUCGUGAAAAAUGAUGCAACCAAUUGGUCCAGAGGACGUGGGGAUUGUCCUGGAAGGCCUGCAGAUAAUGCAAGGACUUGACAACACUGCAUUAGCUGCUGCCAUAUUGUUUGGCCUAAUGUAUGUAUUGAACCUCAACUACCCUCCUGAGCUAAAGAACACGUUUGAAGUGCGCCAAAAAGUUGUGAUGGAGCUGGACGGCACCACGCUCUCAAAGAAAGCCCAAGUUCUCAAAAACAGACUAUGAGUGAGCUGUUGUCCUAACCCUGCUCAUUGACUUGAUUCUGGACUGUACACAUGCAACUUUGCGGUUCUUUGUUCUUGUUCUUGCAGUAUUUACAUACAGCAUGUCUACUGUAUUAUCAAAUGAAUGUUUUCUCUGGAGCUCAUGCGUUCCCAAAAUGUGACUCGGAUUUGCUGUUUUCUCUUAAAGUAAUAGAGCUGCUGAAUGAGCAGUUGCCAUGGACUAUGUUUGCUCUGUGAAUGCACUUGUCUUUUGACAUGCACUCAUGCAGCUUUAGUUUUUCCUGUAUUCUUUUGGCAGUAUUUAGAUUUUUGGAAGAAUUACAUUUUUCGUAGUAUUAAUGAUGUUUGUCUAGGUCUACUCAUUGUUUGUUGUGCGGUGAUUCAUUCAAAACACUGGCAGUACUUUUUUAUUUUAUUAUUUAAUUAGAAUUUUAUGCAAAGUAAAAAAAAACAUAAUGCAACCUAACAUGUUUUGGGAUUUCAGUGUUAAAAAUGUCUAGUGUUUUCCAAAAAUGUCCAAACUAUUGCUAUUUGAAGGUGGAGUCAGCGAUUAAGGGGAAUUCUUGUCGUCAAAAUCAGUGAAUAUCUCAUGAUGCACUACCUGUCCGUACUUAUGUGCUAUAAAUCCUUUGUUAGUUCUCAGCCUCUGUAAACCAAGGACCUAUGGACAUGCAAUUUGUAGGCAGGACAAGCACUCUCCAGAGUCAGCUCUAAGUUACACAUGCCUAACACUGGCUGUGCUAUUUUAUUUUAUUUUCAUUUUAAUCGAGCAAAGUAAUGGGAUUUCAGUGUUAAAUGUUGUAUUGGGAUUUCAAGCUUUGGGAUUUCAGUGUUAAAUGUAGUAUUUGAAAGAAAUGCAAUAGAAAGUUGGUUAUUUGUGCCUUAUUUAGUCUCAUACUUACUUGAGCAGUAAGUAUGAGACUAAACAUUUAGUCUCAUACUUUAAAAAAAUAUUUUUUACAUGUUUUGAAAGAUGAAUCACAUUAUUUUCUGUCCAUAUACUGUUAUAUUACAUCAAAUAUAAAUUAUUUUACAACCUUUUUCCAUUAAAAACCAGCUAAGAACAGCAAAUUUCUGUCUAUUUAAU